UGCAACUCGACUGCAUGAAGCCGGAAUCGCUAGUAAUCGCGGAUCAGAAUGCCGCGGUGAAUACGUUCCCGGGUCUUGUACACACCGCCCGUCACACCAUGGGAGUCGGAAAUGCCCGAAGCCGGUGGCCUAACCGAUAAGGGAGGAGCCGUCGAAGGCAGGUCUGAUGACUGGGGUGAAGUCGUAACAAGGUAUC
rnacentral:rRNA from 1 species